rnacentral:lncRNA from 1 species
CGAAAUGAUACAUUGCAUACGCAAGGUUGGCACUCCCGUUGACAAUAUGUGCCCGACCUCAUCAUACAGAGCAUCGCUGCUUGGAAGUCAUAGUAAGACUGGACCCUCUUCACCCGAGAUAUCACAAGAGGAUGCUGCGAUAUAGCAGAGCGAAGUCACGGCAAAGAUGGUAUCAGUUGCACUCUAUCGACAGCUAAGUAAACUAUUGUAUUGCAUUUGUUCAAAGUCUCCGAGAACAAAUGUAAAUGGGACGUUAUUGUACCGGCAGAGUCUCACGAUUGGUUUAUAAGUGAAUUUCGUUUAUGCUAAUGAUAUGAUCUUCUCUAACUGCAUAUGAAACAAUUAAUAAGGUUAAAGGAUUCCUCUCACGAGUUGAAAAUAAAUAUUUUGUAUAUUUCAAAUACCCCCAAUAUAUAUUUUACGGGUAAAGGAAAAAGUUACACCAGGGAUAUAUUAGAUUUUAAGACAGUAUCCCUUGUAAACAAUUUUCUAUGAUACUGAGCAAUUAAAUGCACUUCGGGAUAUAAUCGAGUUUAGUCAACCUGUGAUGUCAUUCCUGUGAAAUUGACUUUAUAUUCGACAUUAAUUUUCUUUAGUUUGUGUAUAAAUACGCACGAAUAAACUACAUUGACACCCACAUACACGUUUUGAC